GGACCAAGGAGUCUGACA
rnacentral:snRNA from 1 species